GGGGCCUGGAAGCCUGGGGGCCUGGGAGCCGGGGGCCUGGGAGCCUGGGGGCCUGGGGGUUUGGGGGUGACACAACCAUGAAAUGGUGGUAUCGAAAGGUACCGGUUGAGGCAAGUGGAUUGAAUUAUAAUCAUUCUAAAAUCCACUUGGGCCUCAUGCCAAUAAGUUCCAGUACGGCUGGGUGGUGUGAUGUUGACCAUAGUUCGCAGGAACUACUCUCGCCUCAUGAAGCAGACAUCCAGGAAGGCAGGUUCCAGCUUUAGACAGGUAAAGCCCCUGCCCAGACGCCAGUAUGGACUUCUGCAGCAGUGCGGCAGUAGGGUGGACAGACCGGCAUCUGACAGUUAGACAACAGAGCCUAGAGCUUAACAGUAAGCUUAACAGGAUACAACACCUGGAGCCCCAACCCUCCCUUCCAUCUCACCUCCCUGAGUGAAACCCAUUCCCCCUCCCUGUCACCACCCUCCUAAAUUAAAACUUCGCUGCAGCCCCACUAUCGGAGGUUGGCUGCACUUGCUGCACAUAUAUGAGAGCAUGAGAAUUAAAGCAGGCACUGCAAAGACAGUGCUGACACAUACACACCCAACUCCUCCAACCAGCCCCAGCCACCCUCCAUAGC
rnacentral:lncRNA from 1 species